rnacentral:rRNA from 1 species
AGUGAACGCUGGCGGUAGGCCUAACACAUGCAAGUCGAACGGCAGCACAGUAAGAGCUUGCUCUUACGGGUGGCGAGUGGCGGACGGGUGAGGAAUACAUCGGAAUCUACUUUUUCGUGGGGGAUAACGUAGGGAAACUUACGCUAAUACCGCAUACGACCUACGGGUGAAAGCAGGGGAUCUUCGGACCUUGCGCGAUUGAAUGAGCCGAUGUCGGAUUAGCUAGUUGGCGGGGUAAAGGCCCACCAAGGCGACGAUCCGUAGCUGGUCUGAGAGGAUGAUCAGCCACACUGGAACUGAGACACGGUCCAGACUCCGACGGGAGGCAGGAGUGGGAAAUAUUGGACAAUGGGCGGAAGCCUGAUCCAGCCAUACCGCGUGGGUGAAGAAGGCCUUCGGGUUGUAAAGCCCUUUUGUUGGGAAAGAAAAGCAGCAGGUUAAUACCCCGCUGUUCGGACGGUACCCAAAGAAUAAGCACCGGCUAACUUCGU